UACGUAGGGGGCAAGCGUUAAUCGGAAUUACUGGGCGUAAAGCGUGCGCAGGCGGUUUUGUAAGUCUGUCGUGAAAUCCCCGGGCUCAACCUGGGAACUGCAUUUGUGACUGCAAGGCUAGAAUCUGGCAGAGGGGGGUAGAAUUCCACGUGUAGCAGUGAAAUGCGUAGAUAUGUGGAGGAAUACCGAUGGCGAAGGCAGCCCCCUGGGCUAAGAUUGACGCUCAUGCACGAAAGCGUGGGGAGCAAACAGG
rnacentral:rRNA from 1 species